AUUGAACGCUGGCGGCAGGCCUAACACAUGCAAGUCGAGCGGAGCGGCGGACGGGUGAGUAAUGCCUAGGAAUCUGCCUGGUAGUGGUGGAUCACGUCCGUAAACGGGCGCUAAUACCGAAUACUAUCAUAUCAGCCUCGGUCGGAUUAGCUAGUUGGUGGGGUAAAGGCCUACCCAGGCGACGAUCCGUAACUGGUCUGAGAGGAUGAUCAGUCACACUGGAACUGAGACAUGGUCCAGAUUCCUACGGGAGGCAGCAGUGGGGAAUAUUGGACAAUGGGCGAAAGCCUGAUCCAGCCAUGCCGCGUGUGUGAAGAAGGUCUGCGGAUUGUAAAGCACUUGAAGUUGGGAGGCGUUACCAACAGAAUAAGCACCGGCUAACUUCGUGCCAGCAGCCGCGGUAAUAC
rnacentral:rRNA from 1 species